rfam:Gossypium raimondii Chr01_contig_10, whole genome shotgun sequence.
UGUUAAAAAAUUUAUCCAUUUGUACUGUUAAAAACUGAUGUGGCUAACAAAAUUACCAAACAAUGAUAUGUGGCAUGCCAUGUGUACCUCAUGCUAACAUAAUGGGAUCAGUUUUUAACAGCAAAAAUGGAUGAAAUUUUUAACA